rnacentral:rRNA from 1 species
UACGUAGGGUGCGAGCGUUGUCCGGAAUUAUUGGGCGUAAAGGGCUCGUAGGCGGUCUGUCACGUCGGGAGUGAAAACUCGGGGCUUAACCCCGAGCCUGCUUCCGAUACGGGCAGACUAGAGGUAUGCAGGGGAGAAUGGAAUUCCUGGUGUAGCGGUGAAAUGCGCAGAUAUCAGGAGGAACACCGGUGGCGAAGGCGGUUCUCUGGGCAUUACCUGACGCCGAGGAGCGAAAGCGUGGGGAGCGAACAGG